UACAGAGGGGGCAAGCGUUGUUCGGAAUUACUGGGCGUAAAGGGCGCGUAGGCGGCCUUCUAAGUCGAACGUGAAAUCCCCGGGCUCAACCCGGGAACUGCGUCCGAUACUGGAAGGCUUGAAUCCGGGAGAGGGAUGUGGAAUUCCAGGUGUAGCGGUGAAAUGCGUAGAUAUCAAGAGGAACACCUGAGGUGAAGACGGGUUGCUGGGCCAACACUGACGCUGAGGCGCGAAAGCCAGGGGAGCAAACGGG
rnacentral:rRNA from 1 species